AAGAUUUCAAAAAAAUAAAAAAAAGGGAGGGAAAAAAAUGAUAAGAAAAGGAAACAAAAAAAGAGAGGGAAAGAUGAGAUACGCAUCCUAUGAAACUAAUUUCAACGAUCCAACUGUCAAACAUGUUUGUAUAUGUUUAGAGAUCGUAUACGCUAAAAAUUGCAAAAAAAAAAUAUUCAGAGAUCAAGUAAUGGGACAAAACUUUUCGACAAUUAUAAACGAAAAAUCACGAUUUAACGGUUAUUUUAACUCCAAUUUUGAUAAUUUUUUACAGCUACACUCCUUGACCCUAUAUGAAUACAAUGAAUGAACUCGAUCUUCAAUUUAAAAUAUUUACACCAGUGGAUACCACAAAAUCUUAUGUUAUACUUAAUGAAAGUAUAAAUAAACUCUUAAGUAUUAGUGAAUCUAUUGUUUUUAUGGGAUAUACAUUCUACGAAACUAAUUUCAAUGAUCCAACCGUCAAACAUGUUUGUAUAUACUUCGAGAUCACAUACGCCAAAAAUUGAAAAAAAAAACAUUAAGAGAUCAAGUAACAGGACAAAACUUUUCAACGGUUAUAAACGAAAAAUCACUAUUUAACGGUUAUUUUAACUCCGAUUUUGAUUAUUUUUUAUAGCUACACUCCUUGACCCUAUAUAAAUACAAUGAAUGAACUCGAUCUUCAAUUUAAAAUAUUUACAAUAGUGGAUACCACAAAAUCUGAUGUUAUACUUAAUGAAAGUAUGAAUAAACUCUUAAGUAUUAGUGAAUCUAUCGUUUUUUAUGGGAUAUGCAUUCUACGAAACUAGUUUCAACGAUCCAACCGUCAAACAUGUUUGUAUAUACUUCAAGAUCACAUACGCCAAAAAUUGAAAAAAAAUAAACAUUAAGAGAUCAAGUAACGGGACAAAAUUUUUCGACGGUUAUAAAAUGAAAAAUCACAAUUUAACGGUUAUUUUAACUCCGAUUUUGAUGAUUUUUUACAGCUACACUCCUUGACCCUAUAUGAAUACAAUGAAUGAACUCGAUUUUCAAUUUAAAAUAUUUACAAUAGUGGAUACCACAAAAUCUUAUGUUAUACUUAAUGAAAGUAUGAAUAAACUCUUAAGUAUUAGUGAAUCUAUUGUUUUUUUAUGGGAUACGCAUUCUACGAGACUAGUUUCAACGAUCCAACCGUCAAACAUGUUUGUAUAUACUUCGAGAUCACAUACGCCAAAAAUUGAAAAAAACAAACAUUAAGAGAUCAAGUAACGGGACAAAACUUUUCGACGGUUAUAAAAUGACAGAUCACAAUGUAACGGUUAUUUUAACUCCGAUUUUGAUGAUUUUUUACAUCUACACUCCUUGACCCUAUAUGAAUACAAUGAAUGAACUCGAUUUUCAUUUUAAAAUAUUUACAAUAGUGGAUACCACAAAAUCUGAUAUUAUACUUAAUGAAAGUAUGAAUAAACUCUUAAGUAUUAGUGAAUCUAUUGUUUUUAUGGGAUAUGCAUUCUACGAAACUAGUUUCAACGAUCGAACCGUCAAACAUGUUUGUAUAUACUUCAAGAUCACAUACGCCAAAAAUUGAAAAAAAAUAAACAUUAAGAGAUCAAGUAACGGGACAAAAUUUUUCGACGGUUAUAAAAUGAAAAAUCACGAUUUAACGGUUAUUUUAACUCCGAUUUUGAUGAUUUUUUACAGCUACACUCCUUGACCCUAUAUGAAUACAAUGAAUGAACUCGAUCUUCAAUUUAAAAUAUUUACAAUAGUGGAGACCACAAAAUCUUAUGUUAUACUUAAUGAAAGUAUGAAUAAACUCUUAAGUGUUAGUGAAUCUAUAUACAACAACAACAACAACAACAAAGCCUUUUCCCACUAAGUGGGGUCGGCUAUAUGA
rnacentral:lncRNA from 1 species